AGGGUUUGAUCAUGGCUCAGAUUGAACGCUGGCGGCAUGCCUUACACAUGCAAGUCGAACGGCAGCACGGGAGCAAUCCUGGUGGCGAGUGGCGAACGGGUGAGUAAUAUAUCGGAACGUGCCCAGUCGUGGGGGAUAACGUAGCGAAAGCUACGCUAAUACCGCAUACGAUCUAUGGAUGAAAGCGGGGGAUCGCAAGACCUCGCGCGAUUGGAGCGGCCGAUAUCAGAUUAGGUAGUUGGUGGGGUAAAAGCUCACCAAGCCGACGAUCUGUAGCUGGUCUGAGAGGACGACCAGCCACACUGGGACUGAGACACGGCCCAGACUCCUACGGGAGGCAGCAGUGGGGAAUUUUGGACAAUGGGCGCAAGCCUGAUCCAGCAAUGCCGCGUGCAGGAUGAAGGCCUUCGGGUUGUAAACUGCUUUUGUACGGAGCGAAAAGGCUCUCUCUAAUACAGGGGGCUCAUGACGGUACCGUAAGAAUAAGCACCGGCUAACUACGUGCCAGCAGCCGCGGUAAUACGUAGGGUGCAAGCGUUAAUCGGAAUUACUGGGCGUAAAGCGUGCGCA
rnacentral:rRNA from 1 species